rnacentral:rRNA from 1 species
AACGAACGCUGGCGGCAUGCCUAACACAUGCAAGUCGAACGGAUGGUAGCAAUACCAUUAGUGGCGGACGGGUGAGUAACGCGUGGGAAUCUACCCCAAAGUUCGGAAUAACCGCGGGAAACUGCGGCUAAUACCGGAUGUGGCCUGAGGGCCAAAGGAGCAAUCCGCUUUGGGAGGAGCCCGCGUCCGAUUAGCUAGUUGGCGGGGUAACGGCCCACCAAGGCUUCGAUCGGUAGCUGGUCUGAGAGGAUGGCCAGCCACACUGGGACUGAGACACGGCCCAGACUCCUACGGGAGGCAGCAGUGGGGAAUAUUGGACAAUGGGGGAAACCCUGAUCCAGCAAUG